rnacentral:rRNA from 1 species
CCUGGGGGCUGCAGCGGGGAAUAGUGCACAAGGGGGGAAACCCUGAUGCAGCGACGCCGCGUGAGGGAAGAAGGAAUUCGUGAUGUAAAGCGCUAUCAGCAGGGAAGAAAAUGACGGUACCUGAGUAAGAAGCCCCGGCUAACUACGUGCCAGCAGCCGCGGUAAUACGUAGGGGGCAAGCGUUAUCCGGAUUUACUGGGUGUAAAGGGAGCGUAGACGGCAGUGCAAGUCUGGAGUGAAAGGCGGGGGCCUAACCCCCGGACUGCUCUUGAAACUGUACGGCUGGAGUGCAGGAGAGGUAAGUGGAAUUCCUAGUGUAGCGGUGAAAUGCGUAGAUAUUAGGAGGAACACCAGUGGCGAAGGCGGCUUACUGGACUGUAACUGACGUUGAGGCUCGAAAGCGUGGGGAGCAAACAGGAUUAGAUACCCUAGUAGUC